UACGUAGGGGGCAAGCGUUGUCCGGAAUCAUUGGGCGUAAAGAGCGUGUAGGCGGCCCGAUAAGUCCGCUGUGAAAGUCCAGGGCUCAACCCUGGGAUGCCGGUGGAUACUGUCGGGCUCGAGUCCGGAAGAGGAGUGUGGAAUUCCUGGUGUAGCGGUGAAAUGCUCAGAUAUCGGGAGGAACACCAAUGGCGAAGGCAGCUCGCUGGGACGGUACUGACGCUGAGACGCGAAAGCGUGGGGAGCAAACAGG
rnacentral:rRNA from 1 species